rnacentral:rRNA from 1 species
ACGGGAGGCAGCAGUGGGGAAUAUUGGACAAUGGGGGAAACCCUGAUCCAGCGACGCCGCGUGAGUGAAGAAGUAUUUCGGUAUGUAAAGCUCUAUCAGCAAGGAAGAAAAUGACGGUACUUGACUAAGAAGCUCCGGCUAAAUACGUGCCAGCAGCCGCGGUAAUACGUAGGGGGCAAGCGUUAUCCGGAUUUACUGGGUGUAAAGGGAGCGUAGGCGGCGAUGCAAGUCAGAUGUGAAAACCCGGGGCUCAACCUCGGGACUGCAUUUGAAACUGUAUUGCUUGAGUAUCGGAGAGGUGAGUGGAAUUCCUAGUGUAGCGGUGAAAUGCGUAGAUAUUAGGAAGAACACCGGUGGCGAAGGCGGCUCACUGGACGAUAACUGACGCUGAGGCUCGAAAGCGUGGGGAGCAAACAGGAUUAGAUACCCUGGUA